rnacentral:rRNA from 1 species
UACGGGGGGGAGCAAGCGUCGUUCGGAUUUACUGGGCGUAAAGGGCGCGUAGGCGGCCACCGCAAGUCGACUGUGAAAUCUCCGGGCUUAACCCGGAAAGGUCAGCCGAUACUGCGGGGCUAGAGUGCAGAAGGGGCAACUGGAAUUCUCGGUGUAGCGGUGAAAUGCGUAGAUAUCGAGAGGAACACCUGCGGCGAAGGCGGGUUGCUGGGCUGACACUGACGCUGAUGCGCGAAAGCUAGGGGGAGCGAACGGGG